rnacentral:rRNA from 1 species
GGGUCAGUAGGUUGGUCGUGCCACCGGUACGUACUGGUCUCACUGAUUCCUCCUUCCUGAAGAACCGUAAUGCCAUUAAUUUGGUGUUGCGGGGAAACAGGACUGUUACUUUGAAAAGAUUAGAGUGUUUAAAGCAAGCUAACGCUUGAAUACAUUAGCAUGGAAUAAUGAAAUAGGACGAUCGAUCCUAUUUUGUUGGUUCCUAGGAUUGACGUA